UGGGGAAUAUUGGACAAUAGGCGAAAGCCUGAUCCAGCCAUGCCGCGUGUGUGAAGAAGGUCUUCGGAUUGUAAAGAACUUUAAGUUGGGAGGAAGGGCAGUAAGCGAAUACCUUGCUGUUUUGACGUUACCGACAGAAUAAGCACCGGCUAACUCUGUGCCAGCAGCCGCGGUAAUACAGAGGGUGCAAGCGUUAAUCGGAAUUACUGGGCGUAAAGCGCGCGUAGGUGGUUCGUUAAGUUGAAUGUGAAAGCCCCGGGCUCAACCUGGGAACUGCAUCCAAAACUGGCGAGCUAGAGUAGGGCAGAGGGUGGUGGAAUUUCCUGUGUAGCGGUGAAAUGCGUAGAUAUAGGAAGGAACACCAGUGGCGAAGGCGACCACCUGGGCUCAUACUGACACUGAGGUGCGAAAGCGUGGGGAGCAAACAGG
rnacentral:rRNA from 1 species